rnacentral:lncRNA from 1 species
GUGAGAAGUCUCUCCCAAGCAUGUCUGCAAUGCAAGGAUGAUAUGUGCAUGAUAUGCAUAUGAUGCGGAUGCUAUUUUAUCAUGAAUGAUCCUGAAAAGGAUAUGCACAUGCGAGUUAACUUUUUUCAUGCAUUAUUAUUUUUUUGGAAAAUAAACAUGCUAUGAUGCAAAUGAUGGAGCCAAGACUGGCAGGCUGUGCAUCUC